GGGGGAGGGCCAGACCAAUGGGCAGCCACUGCCUCCUCCCCAGCAUGAUCAAGGAGCACAACUCAAUUACCCCAGAAACGUGAAGCUUCAGAGAUCCAUCUCAGCAGUUCCAGGAGGGGGGCCAGACCCAGUCCCUGUACCCAAGAAAGUGAGUCUGCCAAGUGUUUGGAUAGGAGUGGAGAAGAAGAGACACCAGGGAAGAUUGGAAUCUCUUUUGGAGCCUGGGCCUGAGAGAUGGAGUUAGGUAACCCCGGCGGUUACCGCCUGAACCACUCCUGCUGGCUGCAAAGAAUUGAGGAAGGAGGAACCAGUCUCUGAGCUGUGCGACCCCCAAACUGCUGGCUUCUCCGACCUCAACUGUGUUGUGGAACCGCCAGGGGGCGGCGCGACCCUGUUGGUCGCCAAGGGGAUCUCCGUGCUUCCUCGUCGAGGCUGUCUGUGACCUGUCGCUUCCAAUGCCUGGUCCUUGCAUGGCCAACGACCUCUACCCUCUCCCAGAGGCCUUAAGCUUGUAACCUGUCCCCUCCUGGACUGUGAAAAGAACAUAUAGCCCGACCUCCCUGCCAACAAGCUGUACCAUUGGGAAGAGGAGAGCCCAACGGUAGAAGCUCAUCAAUGAUUCCCAGCCUCUGUUUCCAUCAGAAUUGCUUGAUGAAGCUCCUUUAACACAAAUAGAUUUACUCACAUUCCUUAACUGUAAAAGGUGUGCAUGUGCCAGCAGGGGGUUCUGGAAUCAUGUACCUUUGUCAGAGCUCCCCCAUUUAAUUCUGAUACAAUUCCACGUAUUACCUAAAGAG
rnacentral:lncRNA from 1 species